AUGAAGAACGCAGCGAAAUGCGAUACGUAAUGUGAAUUGCAGAAUUCAGUGAAUCAUCGAGUCUUUGAACGCACAUUGCGCCCCCUGGUAUUCCGGGGGGCAUGCCUGUCCGAGCGUCAUUGCUGCCCUCAAGCACGGCUUGUGUGUUGGGCCUCCGUCCUCCUCCCGGGGGACGGGCCCGAAAGGCAGCGGCGGCACCGCGUCCGGUCCUCGAGCGUAUGGGGCUUCGUCACCCGCUCUUGUAGGCCCGGUCGGCGCUUGCCGACACAUCAAUCUUUUUUCCAGGUUGACCUCGGAUCAGGUAGGGAUACCCGCUGAACUUAAGCAUAUCAAUAAGCGGAGGA
rnacentral:misc_RNA from 1 species